GAUGAACGCUAGCUACAGGCUUAACACAUGCAAGUCGAGGGGCAGCGGGAUUGAAGCUUGCUUCAAUUGCCGGCGACCGGCGCACGGGUGAGUAACGCGUAUCCAACCUUCCGUACACUCAGGGAUAGCCUUUCGAAAGAAAGAUUAAUACCUGAUGGUAUGAUGAGAUUGCAUGAUAGCAUCAUUAAAGAUUUAUCGGUGUACGAUGGGGAUGCGUUCCAUUAGGUAGUAGGCGGGGUAACGGCCCACCUAGCCAACGAUGGAUAGGGGUUCUGAGAGGAAGGUCCCCCACAUUGGAACUGAGACACGGUCCAAACUCCUACGGGAGGCAGCAGUGAGGAAUAUUGGUCAAUGGACGAGAGUCUGAACCAGCCAAGUAGCGUGAAGGAUGAAGGUCCUACGGAUUGUAAACUUCUUUAUACGGGAAUAAAGUAUCCUACGUGUAGGAUUUUGUAUGUACCGUAUGAAUAAGCAUCGGCUAACUCCGUGCCAGCAG
rnacentral:rRNA from 1 species